AUCUGAAGGCCCCUGGUGCUUCCGCCAGAGAAGGAAGGGAGCGGAGCUGUGGGCAGGUUUUUCGGGAGCGUGGCCUGCCUGUCCCGGCCCUGGAGCCCACUCACGCUGGGCCUGCUCAGGGUCAGGGUGGCAGAGCUCCCCAUCCCCUGGGUCACCCGAAACCACCCCCCACGCUUUCACAUUUCCUAUCGCUGUACAUUCCAUUAAGGUCUCUCAAAGUGUUCUGCUGAUUAAUUUACGCCUGUUUAAACUUUUCUUACCUAAAACAUAGCCCCAUACUAGCCACUGUGCAGAAAAUUAACUCUGUCCCAGCCAAAACCAGCACAGUAUUGUAAGAGGAAAUGGCUUCAUGAAACUUCUUUCACAGUGCAUUGGAAAUAGAAGCUGCCUUUUAGCGGAAACUGUGAGCCAAGCUCACCAGUUAAGAAAAUAUCUUUGUAUGAAAAACUGUGUUCUCUACACAAACUGCUGAAAAUGUUGGGAUAAGCCUUCUUGGCCAGAAAUAGAGUCUAUAGAAGCAUAGAAUCAGAAUAAUUUUGUCUGGAAAAGACCUUUAAGAUUAUUGUAUCCAACCAUUAACUCAGUACUUCCAAGUCCACCACUCAAUCGUGUCCCUCAGUGCCACAUCUACAUCUUUUAAAUACUUUCUGGGAUGGUGGCUCCACCACUUCCCCAGGCAGCCUGUUCUAAUGCUUGACAGCCCAGAGAAGUUUUUACUAAUACUUGGUUGAGGAGGCUGAGGAGAGGACUGGAGAUAAAAAAUUAGUAGUGAAGUCUGACGCAUUAGGUGCAGUUAGGCUUAUCACAAUACAUCAAGUUUUUUAAUAGAGGGUGAUCAAUCUUUCUGAACAUAGAAGUAUUUAGAUGUGACAAACAAUACACACUUUUAUAACCCUCAUCCCCAUUUCUUGGAUAAUCUAAGCAGCAUUAUUUUUAUAAUGCUCUUUUCUUCAAAAAACUUGGUUCUUACCAAUAUAAAUAGUGGAAAAUUUCUGAGCUAAUACACAUUUUCUUUAUCUUUUUUUAUUUUUAAAGAUUUACUUUUCUAACUACAGAAAAUUAUUAACACGCUGGAACUUUCACUUUAGACUUCAAGUGAUAAAAAUGAAUGAGAUGGAAUAAGUUAGAAAGCAUUUUCAUUCUGACAGCACUAUUUAUUUCUCAGUGAAAUUCAAGACAAAGGAAAAAAAAAAAAAACCAAACAAAAAAAACAUUCUCCAGUCUUCUGUAACUGGCAUAUCAGCAGCUAUCCUGUAAUUUUCUGUGCAUCUUUUGUGCAUGUAAGUGAUGCAGAUGCUUUGCAAACUGGACAUUGGAACAUGCAUGUUUUCAUUUAAUCUUUUCAGCUGAGACUGAAAGAAAAGAUUCAGAGACAUCAGUGCUUUUACCUCCAAACCUGUCACCUGUAUGCAGAGCUGAAUCUAAAAAGUAGAAUUAGGCAGGGGCAGUAUUAUUACUGUUCUAAAAAAGAAAGUGGCUUUGCAUUUUCUGAGAGUACCACUUCUGCUUGCAAUUAUAGGCUUAUUGAGAGGCACCUAAAAGUUCUGAGGCCUUCUGCCAUUAGGCAGCUGCCUGGAGAGAUAUUUAUCACUUUAUUGUUUUGUAAUUGAACUGCUUUAAAAAAAAGCUGUAUAAAUUAAAUUUUAGAUGCACAGUUCCCAUUUUUAUAUAUUUUUUAAUCUGAAGCUAGUAGUAGUUAGAAAGAAUGUUUCUUAAACUUGCAAGUUUAAGUAACUUGCAAAGUUACUGUGCACCACUUUCAGAAUACCAACCAAUGUACAACUUACUACAGUUUUUAGGUUUGCUUUUAAAAUAAGUUGAAGCAUCCCAAUGUUUUCAAGGUGGAAAAAAGCUGGUGCAUGCCCACCAUUAACAGAGCAUCUCUAACAACUUUUUUAUUCAUCUGAAAGCAGCAAAAUCUGGGCACAAUCAAUUGCAGAAUCACUGAGAUGUGUGUUCCUGUUCUCUUGAAGGACACUUUUCAAAAAUAAUGCGUAGAACUUGCAUUAACUUUAUUCAGUGAGUAUUCCCAGUGAUUACAUAGAAUUGUAGAAUCAUUGAGGUUGGAAAAGACCUUCAAGAUCAUCAAGUCCAAUCUUUGACUGAUUGGACAGCACCCUGUUAAUUAGACCAUGGCACUGAGUGCCACGUCCAGUUAUUUCUUGAACACCUCCAGGGACAGUGACUCCACCACCUCCCUAGGCACCCCAUUCCAAUGCCUGACCAACUUUUCAGUGAAGUGUUUCUUUGUGACACCCAAGCAGCAUAAUCUAACGUACUUCAUACGUAAGCAAUGUCUGUGUGCACAUGUAUUGGUGUAUGGUGCAAAUUCAUGUUAGAUCCAAUAAAUAAAAAAUAAGCUAUCCAAACAUGGGGUGAUUAGCACGGAAUGUAAUCUCAGGUGAGACAACAGUGAAAUGAAGCUUCAUUUUGAAAUAAGCAGUUUGUAGUUUGUGAAGGAAGCUGAUUCUAGUAGUUUCACAUAAAUUAUUUUGAUAUUUUUGUAAAUGUCUUUUGAUCUCAAGAACAGUCAAAGGAUAUGCCAAAAGGUCAUACAAAAUAAUUAGCUGCUUUUCUUAUUAAUCAAACAUAAAAGCAAUGAGCUAUUUAAUCACAGGAGAGGUCAUGAGUUCUCAGUAUUUAUCCAAUCCACGUGCUGAAUGAUUUCAAACAACUGAGUGGUGAACUAAGAACAAACGCAAAAACCAUGGGCUUCAAUCAGUUGUUAAAAGUAAGUGUAUUACAUUACUGUCAAACAGGCUUGCCCUGUUCUUAGUGGAUGGUUACAGUAUCAGCAAGAGUUUGAGCAUUAAUAUAUUUUGAAUAUAUUUUGAUUUGGAGAACUACAGGCUGUUAGAAUUUAUGUGAGAUCUUUGUAUUUUAAUGCAUGUCCCUUUGCCUGAGAACUGGAAGUGUCUGAAAACACAUAUGAGACAUGCUGUCUCAACUAUCAUAGCUGCAAUUUUGUUUAGCUGAGGUGGGGCAAGAGACACAGUGUUUUUAAAAGCAUGUGAAAAUCAGGAGCAGGAGCAUCAAAAUCUUCUCAUUUGACCCUUUUUUUCCAUGUGUUUCAGUGCUAUAUUUAAUUUUAAAAAAAUUGGCAUCAUGAUUCUUCGUUACUCAGCAUCAAGCUGUUUUCAAAACAGAUUAUAAUGUUUUUUUGAUGGCUCUAUUUUCUGUGUAAUUCUGAUGGAACCAGUAUGGCUCAAGCAGUCCCUUUGAGCAUAAUCUGCAAUUCUAAACAAAUCAUCUGAUCCAGGAUGUUCAGUGAGUUAUGCAAUGACAUCUUUUUUUUCUCUUGAGAAACAAAGCAUUAUCGUCAGGAAAAAAAGGAUCACAUUGCAGUGUCUGAUGCAAUGAAAACCUUGUUCUAUAAAAACAAUAUAAAAAGUUAGACAUGGUAUGAGGAGAAAAGGGAAGCAAAAAAACUUGCUAUUGUUUAUAGGCAUCAUGCCAUCAAUUAUGAAUAGAUACUUCAUAGUGCUUUGUCAUCACUUACAUAAAAUUAAUGACAACAGAUUCCAUUCCUUUCUAUACAGUAUAUCCUAAGGAAAGAUAAAACCUUUCCCUCAACGAAUUUCACCGUCUGGAAAUCAGUACUGAAAGAUUCUGACUCCACUAGGUAAGAAAAACGAUAAAAGCAUGUUAGCAAGUAGUCAGAAUGAUACUUAAAAAUUAAUGUGACAAUAUAGCAGGUAAUUUUCUGCAUUUAAAUUUUAUCAUUUAUCUAAGGGUAACAAAACAGUGUUGCGAGACUUUCCUCCUAUACAGCAACAGACGUCUGAGAAGAAAGAAGAAUUAAAGAACAUAUAAAGAGUUUUCAUUUAAUUUAGUACUUUUUAUUGUAGUUCUACAAGAUUUUCUUCAUGAAGUUCUCAAAAAGGCAAAGAGAUAAACAGGCACUCAUCAGGGAAGGGCCAUGGACUGACAUAAAUCCUUUCUCCCGGCAGCUGGGCUGUUGCUUCAGAGAAGAAGAGCAUCUGCUUGCAGCAUGAGAGGGUCACAUUACCAUGGUUCCCACGCCCAAUAUAAAAUGGUGGUGAUAUACAAAUGAGAGCACCAGUAGGUACAAAUGAAGAUGCCAUUUAAAAGUUGCAUGAUGUGACUCAAGUGAUACAAUUUAAAAUUCAAAUCAGUCUGUACAAGUUGUGUCCUCAUGCAGCUGUCCAGAAAUCUGAAAGUCUAUAUGUGGGACUCAGGUUGCACAUUAGAACUAGAAAGAUUGGGCUGUGCAUAUUUUAAAGGGAGAAAAUUGCAUGUGUCCAUAAGUUGCUACAAAGAGCCAUUCCAUAGGAGGUUUAAGAGGUAAUCACCCAUCUGCUAAAAUAUCUGUGUUGUCUUUAAUCAUGUUUCUGCUGAAUGAGAAGAAAACAUUUAAAAAAUACGUUAAAAAACCCCCAAAACAACACCCCCCCAAAAAAAAACCCAAAACCAAACCAAAACCAGGAUUGCUAAACCCUGUAAUUAUGAAGAAAACAAGUGAUUAAAAGGAAUUGGCUGAAAUAAAAGUGAACCUAAAUUUUAUUACAUGUGUAAUUUUGGGACUAGACAUAGCUGUCAUGACUUAGAGCAACAUAAAACCCCUAUUAAAGGGAGGACACUUCAUUUAAAUUGGUGGAAACCACUGUAUAAGUGUAGUUCAUAAAAUGAACUAAAUUCACUUCUGGCUAAGUUCUACUGAGAUUCAUUCUAUCUAAAUUCUAGACUUUUGUUGAAAUAAUUCACUGUUUGAUCUUUCAGUUAUGUAAAAUAAAUGCACAGUUCUUCAUUUCAGCUGUGACAUUCAUUUACUCUCUAAGCUUGAUUGACUCUAUAACUUCUUGUCUCAAGGAUUUAGGAAACAAUGAAAGCAACAACUCAGCAGAGUGAAAUUCUUAUGUAGGUUACUUGGAUAAUUCAUAUCUGAGAAUAAAGAAAUAUGAGUUCUGUGGAGUGCAUGUGAUACUUGAUAUAUGUGCUUUAUAUAUAAUUUCCUUAAGGUCUGUAAGAAAAUUAAAUUGAAGUUUAAUCAGAAGUUUUGCUCUGCACUGAUCUGUGAGAACCUAAGGUGAAAUUGGAUGAAGAAAUGUAUUUAUGGAGAGGAUCCUCUUGUAUUCCCAUGCACCUUGCAUUUGGAGAGGAGUUGUUUUCCAACAGCUUUCAUAAUUUCUAUUUCUUCUUGAACUCUAAUAUUUUAUUUAUGCUUUAUUCCCAUAUCUGACACACAGGUAAUGUGCAGGAAUACAUUGAGAGCCAUGCACAUAUGAAUAUCAUUUUCUCAAGAGAAAAUGUGUCUGUCAAUAAAUAUGCUAUGUGGCACAUUUGUGACCAGGGCAGGCAGUUCUAAGAUGCAUUACUUGAUUAUUUCAAAAUCAGAUUUCUUCAAAGGUGCCAAAGGCAGAUAUAUGUCAAGAUAAAAGCUACAUGGGUUGGAGUAUAAAAGGGCAACCUAAACAUUUUUCAAAGUAUUCAGAAAUCUGUUUGUUUGUAUUCCAUACCUCAGAACUACUCAGACUGGAUUUUUAUUACACUUUGAUAAUAAUUUAUAGUUUGGUAAUGAACAAACAUGAGCAAUAUUAGCACAACAGAUCAUGUUCGUAAACCUCUGUAUGUCAUGGUAAAAAUUAAAUACCUUCUCAGCCAGAAUUGUGGCCAUUGCAAGUGAAGUUCUGUUAAAAAAAAGUUUUCCUUGUUGUUUCAUCGUUUGAAAUUUUCAUCUAUGUAGCCCUCAGAACACUACUCCUUGCUAUUAAAUGUCUUCAGACAUUUAAAAUGUUUCAGCUUUUUAAAUGCUUCAGACUGUCCAGAGUUUUUGAAAGUACUGCCAAAAUUUAAAAAAACCUGUGCUACUACUGGCAUUUCUUCAUAUGCUCAGAAACCCUCUCUUCCUCAUAAGGAAUUAUUUCUACACUUGUUUUCAGGGCUAAAAGUUGUUCUGCCAAUAUUCAUGAAGAUGAGCUUGUCCUUGCUACUUACAUUUUAUUUGUGGAAAACAGAUCAGAUAGACUGCCUGAAUGCUCUGGGAGUUCGUUCAGUUUAAAGUCAAUACUGAGCCAAAGAGAUGGUCCCAAUGUCCCACAGAUCAUUCCUUAGACUGUCAAUCAAUACAUUUCACCUGGGUCUCUCUAACUAGUAAGUCAAGUAGCAAGUAACACCAAGAGGGAAGCACACAUUGGAAACAUAAUGCACACCUUAGUAAGUGAGACCAAGGGUCUAUCUAACCCAGUUUUGUAUCUCAUAUAGUGCAGUGGGAAAGGCUGUAAGAAUGUUUUUAGAGUUUAUUUACUGGCAUGUAUUUUCUCCAUUGUGUGCUGUUUCAGCUUGUAGAUACUGUUGAGCUCUUCAUACUGCUGUAAAUGAUCGUCCUUCAUUCCUGGUCAGUAUUUUUUUCCUGUACUGCAUCCAGCUCUGGGGUCCUCUGGGUUCCAGCAUAAGAAAUACGUGGACCUAUUGAAGCAAGCCCAGAGGAGGGCGUCUCUAAAGAUGAUUAGAAGAAUGCAGCACUUCUCCAAUGAGGAAAGGCUGAAAGAAUUUGGUUUAUUCAGCCUGGAAAAGAGAACACUUUGAGGUGACCUAAUUGCAGCCUUUCAGCACCCGAAGGGAGCCUACACGAAAGCCCUUUUAUAAGGGCUUGUGUUAAUUGGACAAGGGGGAAUGGAUUCAAACUAAAAGAAAGUGAGUUUAGAUUAGAUAUCAGGAGGAAGUUCUUUACUGUGAGGGUGGUGAGGCAUUGGUACAAGUCGCCCAGGGGAGUUGAAGAUGCUCCAUCAAAGUCAAGUUGGAUGGGGCUCUGAGCAACCUGAUCUAGUGAGGUUUGUCUUGGCACAUGGCAGGGGCCUUGGAACUGGAUGAUCUUUAAGGCCCCUUCCAACACUAGCUAUUCUAUAAUCUUAUGAUUCUAUGAUCAUCCUGUUUUGCUUGUAUCUUUUUGGUAAGAAUGUGCCAUUGCUUCAAUUUUAUUGAACAGAGUGAGACAGGAGAUCAAGCACGGCGUGAGGGAACUAAACUUUUGUCUCCCGCUUCUCUACUAGCACCCUAUCUAAUGAGGUCAGUUACCCUAUUUGACCCAUGUGAUUAAGAAAAAUACUCAUUAGCAACUAACUUGGACUUAAGUUUUGCCAACUUUUUUUAACCUAAUUGCUUAUUUAUUUAGCCUUCUUCAGUGUGAUAAUAUUUGUUUCCAAGAUCAUCCACUAGGUUUUCUUGUCUGUUAUGUUCAAAGAAAAAGUGUAAUUUAUACACAUAGCCUUUACUAAUAUAAGUAAUGUUUUCUAAUCUUACCUCCUUCCAAGUGUUGUUGAUCAUGGUCAAGAUUAUUUCAGCUAAUUAUCCACAGGAGGUAAAUCGCCUGAUAGCCAAUGGACACUCCAUUAGCAGAAAAUACCAAAUUCUUUUACAUGUAGAUUGCAAGAGUAAGUAAGAUAGGAAGAUAAAACUGUCUUCUAUAAAGCAAAAUGGAGGAGUUAAUAAGGCUGACAGAGAACUUGAAGCAGCAAAGAAUUUGGAAACAUCAAAGAGCAGUUGGUUUCUGUUAAUUUGCUUUUCUCAAAAGUGGCUGCUUUCCAUUUAUAUUACCCUCAAAGCUCAUCAACUGAAUUUUACAGAGCCUUACUUCACUUCUUUGCUAGAGGAAUUAAUUUGAUGGGUUGAAAUUAUGGAAUUUUUUUUCUCCUUCUUUGGUGAAAUGACAGCUGUAAGUCAGGAUGCAGCCAUAUACAACAUCACUUUAUAUUUUCCAAAAAUAUAUAUAUUUAUGCAUCAGUUUUGAAAAACUGGUGGUUAAAUAACUUGGUUAUAAAUUAAAUAGAGUAGAUUUUACAUGUGUCCAAACAACUAUUCCUCCAACCUAAAUUCUUUGCACAUUUCCAGGAGAUUUAUAUUUUUCUAACAGAACUCACAAGAUACUUUACCAUUUGUAACUGAAAGAGUUGCUGUUGAGUACUGCAUCAAAUGUCAUCCCAUACAGAUUUUCUAUGCUUAAAUUACAGUUGCUUGACUUUAAUGUAGUUAGUUUGCACCACAAGGCUAAGAAAGCCCCUGUGAAAUAUCUAAGUAACUCACAGAAACCUUACAAAAUCCUGUCAAAUAUGGGAACCUCUAAAAAAAUCAUUCUGUUUUCUCUGAACAAAUUAAAAGAUUAUGUAAAUAAUCUUGAAAAUAAAAUUAAUAAUUAAAAAAUGGACAGGUCCUUCACUAUAAAAUCAUAAAUGCCACUCAAAUUGGACUUUUAUAAGGGCUUAGACAGUGAGAUUUCAAAGGAAAUAAUUUAAAGAAAAUAUUGAGUUCUUAAUAUCAGAAAAUCAUGAACAUUGGAUUGAUUGCUACGUGACUAAAACAAUUCAAACUAAAAUGAAAAAAUGAUAAAGCAUGGAUUUGUAUUUUCAAUUUAAAGCAAAGAAACAAUAAGAUUAUAAAAUAAUUUUGAGCCUCCACAAAACCUACAGGGUAAGUGUGUGCAUUGGAAAUUUUCACAUCCUGUUCAUUAGUUUCCCCUAGUAUGAGUCUUGAUUUCUGGGAUCAUCUAGAAGCUAAAAUUUCUUGCAUGAUGAUUAGCACAUAUAACAAUUUACUGAAUAUUUCAAAGAGAGAAAAAACAGUAAGCAGUCAUGCUUGGUAGUGAGUUCUUUAAUGUCCUAGUUGUAAAUAUUGCCAAAAAACAUGUGACAAAAAUUAUAAGGGUAAAUGCACCUUUGAUAGAAAGAUGCUAAAAAUAUUUGAUAGUUGUGAUGGUUAACCUGGGCUGGGUGCCAGGUGCCUUCCAAGACACCCUGUUUUCUUCCCUCCUUAGCAGGAUGCAGAUGGAGUAAAUAAGAAGCAGGAAAACUCAUGAUUCAUGGUAAAGGCACUUUAAUAAAGCAAAAGCAAAGGUUAUACAUGGAAGCAAAGGAAGAUCAAAAGAUUUUUUCUGUACUUCCCAUCAGCAGGUGAUAUCCAGCCACUUCACAGGAAGGGCAUUAUUAUGAAUAGCAGUUGCUUCAGAAGACAAAUGCUGUACUAAUCUGCUGAGGACAUCUGCUGAGCUGAUGUCCUGUGGUAUGGAUAUCCCUCUGGUUACUUUGGGUCAGCUGUCCUGGAUAUGUACCCUCCCAAGACCUUGCCCCACCAAGCCUACUGGGUGCAGUAGGGGAGUCUUGGAGGGACGGCACUGAUGCUGUGUUAUCAACACCUUUCUAGAUCCCCUACAAUGUACAGCACUAUGAGGGCUGCAAUGCAGAAAACUAGCCCUGUCUCAGACACAUCCAAUACAGUAGCAUCUCAUUUUAAAGUAUGUUUUUUCAUCCUGUGAAAUAGGUCAUUGUCUUCUGAUGUCUAACAUUAAAUAAACCCCAAAGCCUCCUCAAAAGUGUUUUCUUGUUUAAAUAGUCACUAAUAAUAAGAACUGAAAUUAACACCAAGACUCUGAAACUGGAUAGAAGUAACUGUAGAAACUUCUAUAGAAACUGUAACAAAAAUUGUUACAAUUCCUUUUAUUGUUUUCCUUUAUGCAAGUCUCUGCAAGUAUGUUUAAGCACAUAAACAUGCUACUCAUGUACAAUUGAACUGAUUAAAAAAUAAUGAUACACAUUUGUAAGAUCAAAGCAAGCAUCCUUUCUUUCAAAAAAUAAGAACUCUUCUGCAAAGACUUAAACAUAAACAGCCAUUUGGAUGAAAAACAGCUGAACCUGCUUUUUUGAUACCAUUUUCUGAGAGGGUGAUUUCUAAUCACUUCAGCCAUGGGUCAGUGAAUAAAAAGGAAGUAACAACUGGAAAUUGACCAGUAUCUGCUAUGGACAUUACUUGUUUGUACCAGUCUCACUGCCACUGAAACGUAAUCCUGAAGGAGCACAAUUGACACAGUGGUUUUGACUUCAUUUCAGUCAUUGAGAUAUAACACUGUGAAGGGUACCCAGAUUUUCUGAAGACUUAGAUAAUGUGUCCCCUUAGGUAAAUGUUUUGGAUGUUAAGGUGUUGAUUGUGUUAUCAGGAGAUGAGCAGAAUAGACUCUUUUUUUCAAGAAAGAUUUCUCAUUGGUUUGGUUCAUCUCCUUUCACAUAUCCCUUAGAGCAGUGGGCCUUUGGGUUAGUGUCCAGGAAACUGGUAUGUUUCCUUCUGAGGUCAACAGAAGACCUGCUGCUUUCCAGCUCUUAGCUGGAAUCUGUCAGACUUCUGUGUAGUUGCUGGGCCAGGCAAGCAGACUCUGUGUGCAAGUUGUUUCAUGCAGUUUUGCACAUACACCAAGUCUCAAACAUCAGGCAUUGGGGUGUUGGCAGAUGUAAGAAGGUGUAGGUAGGCAUACACCCACCUACACCUUCAGUCAUAGAAUCACAGAAUAUGCUCAAUUGGAAGGGACCCACAAGGAUCAUUGAGUCCAUCAAUGUUCUGCACAGCACCAUCCCCAAGAAUCACACCCUGUGCCUGAGAGCAUUGUCCAAAUGCUUCUUGAACUCUGUCAGGCUUGGUGCUGUGAUCACUUUCCUGGGGAGCCUGUUCCAGUGCCCAGCCACCCUCCAGGAAGAAAACCUUUUCCUGAUAUCCAACCUAAAAACUCCUCUGACACAGCUUCAGGCCAGAAGACCCUCAGGUCCUGUCUCUGGUCACCACAGAGCAGAGAUCAGUGCCUGUCCCUCCUCUUCCCCUCACGAGGAAGCUGUAACUGCAGUGAGGCCUCCCCUCAGUCUCCUCCAGGCUGAACAGACCCAGUGCCCUCAGCCUCUCCUCACACAGCUUCCCGUCAGGGCCCUUCACCAUCUUUGUUGCCCUCCUUUGGACACUCUCUAAUAGUUUAAUGUUUUCCUUACAUUGUAGUGCCCAAAACUGCCCCCAGCACUGGAGGUGAGGCCACCCCAGUGCCGAGCAGAGCAGGGCAAUCCCCUCCCUUGCCCAGCUGGUGAUGCUGUGCUUGAGUUAACAAAAGUGAGCUAUUACUGGCCAUCUUAAUUAAAUACCCCUUCAAAAAUUAUUUGCAAAAUCUUUACAACAAGUAAGGAUCAGCCAGGAAUCUUCUGUGAAAUUAAGAGAAGAGGAGAAAAAUACAGAAAUUUGAAAAGUAAUGUGAAAAUAGGGAUGUUUUUAACUGAUAUUUUGGAGGCAAGCCAACUACUCAUUUGGAUUCCUACUUGCACAAUUUAUUUUGUCAGUCUUCUUUUUAUAUUGCAUAAGAUAAGAGAUUAAUAGGAAAAAUAAGGACACAGAAGAAAGUUUUAAAGUACUUAAGCUGACAAUCUAAGUAUCACAGAUGUUGAGUUUGCAGGCAGUAAAUCUCUCCUCCUGCAGUGGGCAAGUCUCUCUGACUCCAAAGAGCUUUAGGAGAGUCAUAGGAUGCUUUGGAUUCAUCAGGAUCACUUUCACAGCUUUCUCUGACAUAAGAGAACAGUAAUGUGCAUUAAAUGUAAGCUUUGUUGGUGGAUUGGAUUAAUUUUACUAGUGACAUAAACUGAAUUUAGAUGUACAAACUGUUUAAAACUUGGAGGUAAGAGCUUCACAGGUAAACCCAGCAGGCCAAAUUCUGGGGUUCCUGAAGUGCUGAAGAUUCAGAGGUCUGGCUCAGGUCUGGUUCAGAGUUUUUUAUAGGCUGUAAAACACAAACUCUGAAAAAAGUCUUCAAGAUUUGAUUCACUGUACCAGUUAAUAUGGCACACUGGUUCCUUUGGUACUGCAUUCUUUAUAAAUGAAAGCUUUCAAAUUGAAAUCAAGUUUCUGGCAAUUGCCUUUCUGAGGACAAACAAAAGAACCAAUAAGGAGCUGUGCAAGGGCCUUUCAGGAAGUCAUUUAGGAGCUUGAAAUUCUGCUUGAGAGUUUUCCCUUUGUUAUUGAACUGAUUGCUUCCUCCUUUGCUAUCUCCUCCUCUGCCCUGCAAAUGAAACAUCCAGUCCUGACUUUCUGGGGAGAGUUGAUGGAUGAAACCGUUUCCUACUAUGCACUGCUACCCAAGCUCUUUUUAUCCCAAAUGAAUUCUGCAUAUGGCUGAUUUUCCCCAUACAAAGUAAGAAGUAAACAGAGAGUGAUAGAUAUUGGCUUUCCAUCAUCUGAUCUGUCAGCUGCUGUACAUUAGGAAGUUAUCUAUGCCUUUAAUUGUGAGUAGGAGAGGGAUUUAGAGCUUGCAGGAGCGUAAUUGUUUCACAGUAAAUCUACAGAUAAGCCCCUCUUCCUUACUGCCCACACAGUUCCACUGAUUUCAGAAUAUUAAAUUGUCCUUUUCCCUUCAAACGCUGGUGCCUAAAGGAAGAUCUAUUAUCCUGAAGUCUUUGUAGCUUAGACUCUAAUGGGAUGCUGAUAUUGCAAACCAAUAACUAAAAUGAGGAAAUAUUGAAAUGAAGCAUAAGGCUUCUUUUAUUACUGCUAUAGUUUACUGCAUUAAUUUUUAAAUAUUUAUAUUUUCUGUCUAAUCACAGUCUUAGAGUUAAAAGUUUUGAUAGUUGACAAAUUCCUCACGUGAUGUAUUCCUAGAGACAAGGUGUAAGCAUCUGAGGGAGGGUAACAAAGAGGAAGGAUUUCUACCUUUGACUGUGCCAGACCCUGUGAAAUUUUCUUUUCAGUUUACUUCAGCAGAUAAAACAGACUUGUUUUGAUGUCUAAUUCUCAAAUUUCAGUGAAUUGCUUAUUCCUUAUUAUGAAUGGUUUCAAUUCAAGUGAGCAAAUACCUUAUGAAAAUCAGGUAAAUGGUCCUGUCAUUAAAUAAAUACCUGAGGUCCCUCUGGGUUUAUCUUUGUUGGGGGUUUUUGUGGUUUUUUUUGGUUUUUCUUGUUUUGUUUUUUUUUUGGGGUUUUUUUGUCUCCAUCAAUCUUGUCUUGUCUAUGCAGUGAGGAUACAAGAAUAUGUGCCAAAGACUACUUGGGUAAAUGAGAUAAUGAACAGCCACAGGUGCUUGUGUUCCCCAACCUGCCUAAGAAGACAACUGAUGUUGCUCAUUGAUAUUAUUAAUAAGACAAAGGCACAGGAGAAAAAAUAUCUCUCUUUAUCCAUCCUCCAUUCACUGGCAGGAAUUAACACUACAAUAACACUGCUCAUGGAAUAUGAAGUGGUUUUGUAUUUAGUAUUAGUCUAAUUACAUUCUUUGCAUCAAUGGGUGACAAAAGGAAAUAAUGAUAUAAAAAUGAGACAAACACUGCUUGCACCAGCCCCAGGCAGAAUUUACUGUUCCUGUCCGACCUCUCUAGAAAAGCACAAGUUACUUCAUGCUGACCCUGAAGAUUUCAUGUGACAAGAGUGACCAGGUCAGGGGACACAGAGAUGUGGAUCUGCAGCUGGGACUGGAGCUUCUCUCCAGGUGGACAUUGAGAAGACUGCAUGGACCCUCAUGAGACAGUUUGCAGUGAAGUAGUGCCUCCUAUAAAUCCUUUGUCACAAAAAGUAGCUAAUUAUUGCAGUGCCAGGGAUAUUUGGUAUUUUUACAGAGAGAUGCUGAUAUGGUAUAAUAAUUAGUAAAAUAUAGGUAGUUUAUUUUUGCCUUGAUUUCAAUUUUUAUUUCUACUGUCAGGUAGAUUUUGGGAAUAAAACAUUUUGACUUUGUGCAUCUUCUUUUAAAAUCAGAGGGUACAGUAAUAGCAUUUGGCUUGGUAUUUCCUUGAACAAGGAGGUAAUUUACUUUCACAGCUGCCUUAUAGAACAGGAUGAUGUUAAAGGAAUAAUUGACAAUUUGUGGGAUUUUUUGUGCUUGACAUUUGUGUUUCUCUUUUAAUUGAGUUUACAGGAUUAUCCUUUCUGUUCUGUGUGUAUUUCAAUAAUCACUCAGUGCUAAAAUUUUCAUAUAGAACUUCAAAUAGAUUGGAGUAACAUUUUUUGUGCUGAACAGUGAUUAACAAAACCCACAAUUCUCUUUCUUAAUUUGCUAAUAUGAUAAAGUGGAGUGUAUGCUGUUACAAAACCAACAAAAAUUAUGAAUGUGAUCCCAGUAUUCUUUUGAACAAUGCAAUUAUAUGAUUCUGUAUAUGUACAAACCUAAGUAGAAAAAUAAGACUUUGACAAUAGCA